UACGUAGGUGGCAAGCGUUGUCCGGAUUUACUGGGCGUAAAGGGCGUGCAGGCGGUUUGUUAAGUCUAGGGUGAAAGCUCCCGGCUCAACUGGGAGAGGGCCUUUGAUACUGGCAAACUUGAGGGAUGCAGAGGAAAGUGGAAUUCCCGGUGUAGUGGUGAUAUGCGUAGAUAUCGGGAGGAACACCAGUGGCGAAGGCGGCUUUCUGGGCAUUACCCGACGCUGAGACGCGAAAGCGUGGGGAGCGAACCGG
rnacentral:rRNA from 1 species